rnacentral:rRNA from 1 species
GAUGAACGCUGGCGGCGUGCCUAAUACAUGCAAGUCGAGCGAUCAGAUGAGGAGCUUGCUCCUCUGACGUUAGCGGCGGACGGGUGAGUAACACGUGGAUAACCUACCUAUAAGACUGGGAUAACUUCGGGAAACCGGAGCUAAUACCGGAUAAUAUAUUGAACCGCAUGGUUCAAUAGUGAAAGACGGUUUUGCUGUCACUUAUAGAUGGAUCCGCGCCGCAUUAGCUAGUUGGUAAGGUAACGGCUUACCAAGGCAACGAUGCGUAGCCGACCUGAGAGGGUGAUCGGCCACACUGGAACUGAGACACGGUCCAGACUCCUACGGGAGGCAGCAGUAGGGAAUCUUCCGCAAAGGGCGAAAGCCUGACGGAGCAACGCCGCGUGAGUGAUGAAGGUCUUCGGAUCGUAAAACUCUGUUAUUAGGGAAGAACAAAUGUGUAAGUAACUAUGCACGUCUUGACGGUACCUAAUCAGAAAGCCACGGCUAACUACGUG